AUAAGAUUCGAUCUCUAAGACAAAAAGGACAAAGGUUUUGGAUCUAUUAUAGGAUUGGGUUGGGGUGCGUGUGAAUGGUAUUGAGAUUGGAGACCACGUAAGCAGGCUUGUGUUGUCUGUAAACUACGGAAAGAAAGAUCACAGUUUUUGAUUUUUUUUUUUUUAUUAAUUUAUAAGGAUUUUUGGAAUUUUCUUGCCGGUUUUGUGUUUUAAUUUUCGGAGCUGAUGAGAAGAUUGUAAUGGAUUUUUGAGGUGAAUUACGUAAGUGACCCUGUCCGAGAUUUGGUUUUGGUCUUUUCUUUGGCCGAAUUUUAUGGAGGAAGUUGAGUGACCGAUAAUUCGGAAAAACCUAAUAACUAACAAACUAUGAUCUAAUGUUUGUAGAAAAUAAAAAUCAUCUGUUGUGUAAAUAUGCGUUUUAUUUAAUCUUAUCCAUACAUAAAUCAUAGUUUUUUCAAGUUUUUAUAUAUCUUUUGGACCAUCAAUUCGAAAUUUUAAUUAAUACAUUUUUAGCAUUUGAUUUUUAAUCUAUUUCAUGUAUUUAUGUCAUUAAUUUUAAAUGCAUCAACAAAACCAGUUCGUGUAAACCCAUUUCUAAGAACACGAGUUAACCAAAAUCAAUUGUCUUAACCAGAAAUUAAACUGGAUUUUAUUUCUGACAUUCUUUCAUGAUCAUUAUGUAAUCAAUACGUUCAUGAUAAUGUGUUCCACCAAGAUCAAACAUGAAAAAUUACUGCCACAAAUAGCACAUUUAUAAUACUAUUUUUCAUAACUAUUUUACCAUCACUUUUAGUGAAUGGUAAAAAGUGAUGGUAAAAAAAAAUUUUCUUUAGGGUUAAUUAAUCUAAACUUAAAAUUUAGAGUUAAGGGAUGAAGUUGAGUGUACGUAUAAGUAAAAGUGUACCUUCCUUAUCUUGGACGAUGAAAAUGAAAAAGCUCCACUCUUCUUAUUGAAUCAUUCACACACAUACUUAUGGCCCUAUUUCCUGUUCAAAGCAACUCAUAACAUUUACAUAAAUACUUGUUGCAACUCAUCUAUGAACCUCACAAAGUUUUGAUAAAACGUGAAAGAACAAUAACAUAGAUGAAUAUAUUUUUUUAAGUCAAAAAUAAACUAUUGAUUUAAAAUGAUUUAUGGGUUAUUAGUUGAGUUAUAAAUAUUUGGUAUCUAACUAAUAAAAAUGACAAAAUGUGGAAUGAUUAAUAAAUUUUUAAAAUUAUGUUAAGGUGCAAAAUUGUAAGAAAGACUCUUGAUGAGAUACAUUGGAGUAUAUAUUAGCAACAAUGAAAAGUUUACCUGUAAACUCUAAUUGUUUUUGAAGCUCUUCACCAAUAACAUAAUUUUUCACCUGAAGGAAAAUAGUAGAGAAGGGAACAUUCAAUGAUUUAUCAAUAAGUGAGACUUAUAUUACCUGAACUUCAGCAAUCCUUUGCAAUUGAGAUUCUCAACCUGUCUGAUAAUCGAAGGACUGCAACUAAAGCAUUAAACUUCAACGAAACAAAGUACCACGUCAAGGACUCAAAACAGCAGAAUGAAGAUGACUUGUAUUUCCCAUCAUCUUAACUAAAUCUGUUGGAAGAAAGUAACUUGUUUAGCAGCCUUGACAAAUCAACACUGAGCUGCUUAGGUUUCUCGGAAAAGCAGCGGUAGGAUCAGCGGUAGCCGUAGUUGUAGGAGCAGAAAAUGGUGGAUCAGGUAGUUAGGUGAAAUCUGAACCAGAGGAGCAUCUCUUUGGAGUGUACCGAACGCUUUGAAAGUGAUUGCAGCUAUCAAAUUCACUGGUUCUUGCAACUGUGGUAUUAUAUCUACAAAGCCCUUUCAAUCAACCGGAGCUCACCGUAGCUCCACCAGCACCAAUUACGUUUCUAAUCACAACCAAUCCUGCCGACUUCCCCUUAAAAGAUUUCCACUUCACCAGCUUCUCCAGUCUAUGGAAAAGCACCUGCCUUAACGAGCUGGAUCCGGAUGAAAAGCAUUUCCAACAAUGGCUUCAUGAAUGCAGAAGCAAAAGAAGGCUUCAUUGUUUGCCAAGAGAUCUCCAACACAGUUGUGAAGAACCGUCGGGUCUACAGCUCCCACUGAUUAGGAAGCUCAAGAUUGAGAAGAGCAGAAUGAUGAAUUUCACGGGGGGGGGGGGGGGGGGGGUUGCAAUCAAAGAUCUAUUGUGUGAGGAGUGCAGAGCAAUGAUUAAUGAGCGCGUUCAAUACGACCCCACUACAAGAAUAAUAGAAAAUAGCAAAGGACUAGCGACAAUAUUUCCGUAGCCAUAACAAUUAGUGAUGAAAAUUGCAACGGAAAGUGACAAAACAAAAAAAAAAUGUUAAGGUUGUAGCUAAUUUGUAGCGAUCUAUAACAAUCUAGCUACAAAUAUGAUCGAUAGGAAUUCUCUAGCUAAAUAGCUACUAAUUAGCGAGGAGUAAAUUGUCACCAAAACUUUUAUAGUUAUCAACGCAUGGCUAUAAAUAUUUAUGUAUCUAAUUGAUAUGUAUGUGCCAUAUGUAUGAUAUUUGAAUUUAUGAUAUAUGUUUGAAACUAAUAAUGCUUGAAUUAAGAUAGUGUGAAUUUGCGUUAUAUGUUUAAAACACUUCAAUUUUUAUGUUUGUGUUUGGUUGAUAUAUACUUGAGUUACAGAUAUAGUAUAGGGUUUAUUAGGGAUUGUGGUUUAUGAUUAAGGGUUAAAGAUUUUAUAGUUAAAAAGUUGUUAAAAAUAUAAUAAAUUAUAAUUUGCUAGAAAUUUACAUAAGAUUAAGAAAAGUGUAUAAAUUUGUGAUGUUAAAAUGAAAUAUUGGGUUACUAUUUUAGUUAUGAAUUAUGGUAUAUGGUAUAGAUUUUAAGGAUUGUGGUUUAGGAUAAAGAGUAUAUAGGUAAAGAGUUGUUAAAAAUAUUAAAAAUUGGUUGGUAAUUUCUAAUUGGUUAGAAAUUUAUAUUAGACUAUUAAAAAUGUAUAAGUUUGUUUAUUGUAAAAACCUUUUUUUCAUUAAUUAUUUUGCCUCCAUUCAUUCUCUCAUAAGUAUUUUUGGCUCCACUAAAUGCCUUCAUUUUUUCAUUUCCCUCCUAAAUAUAAUAUCUAAAACAACUAUUAAAUAAAUAAAAACUUUUGACAUUUGAUUGUUUUUAAUCUAAAGGCUAUAAAUCAUUAUUUUGUGAAUCCUCUACCUUCUUUCUCAUUGGUCAAUAUAUAUAUAUAACCUUAAAUUUGGAUUGUAUAAAUGUUAUAAUCUAAUAAAUGCAUUCAAUUAUCACAAUAACUAUUGAGUAAAUAGAUAUAAUUCUUAGGAUAUAAAAAUAAUACAUUUUGAAAUAGAUUGAGCAUAAUUUAUGUUUACAGAGAUAAUAUCUAUAAAUUAAAAAAAAGUCCAAAAUAAAUUUGUCAAAAUUAAAAUAUGAAUGAGUUUUUUGGUGUGUUCGGGAAUCAAAUCUCUUUUGUACAAAAUGUAGUUUAAGAAAAAAAAUUAAUUUCCAAAAAUUGAUUUCUGGUACCUAGAGAGAUUAUAGAUCGGAGGUCUAGAACUUCAAUGGUUUUAGAUAAAAGAAGAUCAAACUGAUCUAUAUCUGUGUCCCUUUUAAGUUAGGGUGCAUCUUCUCCUUAUAAUCAAAGUCACUCUGAACUUCACAUAAGUAAGAGAAAGCAAAUAGUUUGGUCCUCAGUUUUGUCCCUCAUCCACUGAGUCCCCUUUUAGAUACUGUGUAGUUUGUGUUAGUAUAAAGUGUUAACCAACAGUACACCCUCUUUGAAUUUCUACUUUCUUUAAGUCGCUUUUUUAUACUAUAUCUAUGCAAAAUCCUUGUCCAAACCACUGGUGGUCGUAGUAGACAUUCCAUCAAUAUCGAAUGGAACAAAAAAAAUGAAAUAGUUUUUUCAAAUAACCAAUUAAUUAAACAGAACUAUUUUGAAACACAAAUCGCUGGAUAGUUGCUAAAAAGAACAUAAAAUGCUGGAAUUGGUUUUUUAAGUGGCUAACUAGACCGCAAUACAUGGACAACACAUCUCGAAGAAGACUUCUACCCAGCCAAACAGAUGACUUAUAUGUGUAAUGUAUUAGUCUAAUCCUCUGAAAAAAAACACUAAAUUCUAAGAAGAAAAAACAGCAUAGUGGAUGACACAAAAAUAAACAACUUUUUUGAACUUUGCAUUAUUAUUACAGAAAGCAAAAAAUAUAACCAGAAAUAUUAUACUUUGUAAGCCAGCUAUGUUAUCAAAGAGAAAAAAAAAAUAGGGACACCUACCAAAUCUAACAAAAAAAACAUGAUGGAAAUACAAUUAUGUAAACUGAAACUCAGAAAACCCUUUAACAAAAAAAGUAAACUGAAACUCAGAGUAUUAAAACGUGUGGUUGAAUCUAAAACAUAUGUAUAUAAAUUUUUGUAUGAAGAAGACCAUAUAUUUUUGCAAAUGUAGUUUUUAUUACUUUUGUUUUGAAAAUGUCAGCUUCGUUUUCAAAAGACAAGUGUUUUAAUUUAGUUAACAAAAGAAAAGAAAAUAGGGAUAUAAUUUCUACAUCUAAUCUUACUGAUAAAAUCAAACGUUAGCAAUCUUUCAAAUCGUUUGAAACAUGGAUUCAAGACGUGAACGGAAUGAACUUUCACAGCUCAAAAGAAUUGGAGUGUUAACCAUUUUUAUAUUAACAUUAUUAAUUAAUAUUUGUGCUUACGCAUUAUAUGUCGCUUGGAAAUAAAACUAAUAAAAGUGGUCCAGAACCAGUUAAGAAACAACGGUGAUGGCAUAAAGAUGCCUCUUCUGACAUCGACCGCUAGAAGUUGCCCUUUCCCUGUUACAACCUUUCUUUUCUUUUAAGGAUCACAAAUUUGCUUUAUUUCUUCUCUUUUCACGUCUGAUAAGAAAGGCCGGCCCAAGACUAAAUCAAUACAAAGCUGAGUAUUUUCAUGCUACUCAACAUACUGAUUAUUCUUUAUUAAGUUAUGGCAAUCGUUAUAAUAGGAGGUAGGAGGUGCGUAACUGAGUAGCUUAUAAUAAACUAGUAUAUCAGCUAAUAAGAUAAGCAAAAGAAUAGGAUAAGUAUAAUAUCCAGUGUGUUCAAAAAAAAAAAAAGUAUAAUAUCCAGUAAAUAAACAUGUGUGCAUUUCAACUAACAUGUGUGUAAAUGUAUAGAGUUUUUUUUUUGAGAAAGAAACUUUUAAAUGUAUAAAGUUUCCAAUUGUUUUUUCUUAUAACUUUAACUAAAGACGAAAGAAUAAAGAGUCAGUCUCUCUCUGACACGCUUCCCAAUGCAGUUUCGCUGAGUGCUUCCUGGCCGUGCUUCCGCCGUGCAACCAUCGUCUUCAACCUCCGGAGAUGCUCUUCUCUCUCCCCCCUUCCCUCCUGACCCUCCAGACCAAACUUCCUCUCUCUCCCUGCACCUUUUUCCGCCCCUAACCUCAACUCCACCUCCCUCCCAUUCGGAAAUUCGCAGAUCCCAUCUAUCCAACUCCCCCAUUGAUAUUGUUAUGUCUCCAGCUCUUGGCUCACCCCCAUCUGCAGCCAUUUCUGGUACCACUACUCAGUUUGGUUCUCUUGCUGAGAUUGAUUCCCUACUUACUGUUCCUGCUACAUGAAACUCUAAUCCACUUUCAUCAUCUUCCCCAACUACUGGUUCUCAAACUCCACACCCAAACCUACACUGUUCCCUUGCUGAACCUAAUUCCAAUAACCUAAAGACAAUCCAGCCUAAUUUAAGCCCUCCCCUGCUAUCAAACCAUGCUUCAAGUAGCUAUGCCCUCUCCAACCAACAGUCUCCUUCCCCUCCCAUUAACACUUUCACUUCCAACUCUCAACCAAAAACUUCCAUAUCCCUGCCCCUCCAUCUCAUCAAACCACUUCCCACUAGCCCCUCUGCUUUUAAAACUCCUUCCUUUGCCCCUUCUUUAGCCAAUAACCCCCUCCACGCCACUGCUGAAAGUCCUUCUGACAAGCCAACUAAACCCUCACUAAAAAGAACACGCUCCUCCCCUACCCUCUCCCCGCCAGCUCUACCAAAAAUUUCCUACCAAUCCUCUAAACACCCUCCCUCUGUCCCCUUCCCUGAAGUCAGUACUAUCCAAUAUCUAAAAAACUCCCCCUACUCCCCCUUCCUUGCCCCCCCCCCCUCCACAAAAAACCUUUUUUUGCCACUACUUAAUCUCGGCGACCCUCUCCAGUCUACUAGAGACCCCCCUUUUUCUUCCUAAUGAGUGCAAAACUCUUUUUUUGGAACCUCCGUGGUCUAAAUGACCCGGCUAAAUAUCAGAUUUUCUCGGAUUGGCUUUAUAGUCAUAGACCCAUUUUUGAUGUCCUUUUGGAAACACAUAUUAAGGAACUAUCUCUGCCCCGCUUGAUGUCAACCCUUUGUAAAGACUGGCAUUAUCUAUCUAAUCACCAAUCAGAUGAAGAUGGGAGAAUUGUGGUUAUUUGGAAGGAUCCAGCUAAAGUCAAAGUGAUCUCUCAAUCAAGGCAAAUGAUCACUUGCGAACUAGAGCUGCCUAAUUGUGCUCCUAUCAUCUACACUGCCAUCUAUGCGUCCAAUCUUAGCGAAGAAAGAAAUGACAUGUGGGUAGAGCUAUUGGACCAGCACUGUGCGCUUGCACUUGACUCAAGGCCGUGGAUGAUAGGAGGUGAUUUUGAUCAGAUUCUCUACCACCAUGAACACUCGGCCUUCUCCCACAGUAGACAUUCUCCACAAAUGUUUCAAUUUCGAGACUGCCUUCUCCAAAUGGGUGUCUUCGAUCUUCGGUAUUAUGGACCUGUUCAUACAUGGACUAACAAAUGUGAUGCUGCUCCGGUUGCAAAGAAACUAGAUAGAUGCUUGAUCAAUAGUGAUUGCCUCACCAGGUUUCCCAACGCCACUGCCACUUUCCUCCCCCCAGCCCCUUCCGACCAUUCGCCUUGCCUUAUCGAUCUCGCAUUCCAUCUCCCUAAAGCUGGUACCCAACCCUUCCGUUUCCUAAACUACCUUACCAAACACCCGAGCUUUCUUGAGGUUGUUACAGAUGCUUGGUUGCUCGCCGGAAGUGUGUCUACCAACCUAGCGUCGCUGUGUUGGAAGUUGAAAGCCAUAAAAAGGAGUCUCAAAAUUCUUAAUAAAGAAAAUUUCUCAAAAAUUCAAGAAAGAGUUACUGAAUCUUACCGUUUGUUACAAAUUGUGCAGGUACAAGCACUGACAGACCCUACUCCCCUUACUUUUGCAGAAGAACACGAGCUGAACCUGAAAUGGAAAUUUCUUAGACAAAUUGAGGAAUGUUUCUUCUUGCAGAAGUCUAGGAUAAACUGGCUGAGAGAGGGGGAUUUGAACACUACCUAUUUUCACCGUGUUUGUCAAGUAAGAGCGAGCUUCAAUGCAAUCCGUUCGUUCCUCCUCUUGACUGGUGCUACCAUUACUGAUCCGUUGGAGAUGAGUGCACAUGCGAUUUCUCACUUCCAAUCUGUUCUCGGUCCUGAUCGGCUUCCAGAGCUUUGGCUCUCUUCUUCUGACUGGUUCUGUAGUCUCACGGCCUUCAGUUGUAGCCAACAACAGAUGUCCUCCAUUCUCCUGAUGCCUACUGCAGAUGAAAUCACUAAGCUUAUGUUCUCCCUUAACCCAAACAAAGCAUCGGGGCCUGAUGGACUAACUUCUGAUUUUUUUAAAGCCUCCUGGUCACUGCUCGGUAUUGAAUGUAUCAACUCGAUACAGGAGUUCUUCAACUCAGGGUUCCUGCCAAAAACAACAAACUCAACCAUUCUUUCUCUGGUACCCAAAUUUACGGGAGCAUCAAAGAUUACAGACUACAGGCCUAUCGCAUGCUUGAACACACUCUACAAAGUUAUUUCACGGCUGCUAGUAAGACGUCUAAAGCCUAUUCUACAUCAGCUGAUCUUGCCAAACCAAACAGCUUUUGUGGAGGGAAGACUACUGGUGGAAAAUACAGUGCUUGCUAGUGAACUUGUAAAUGGCUAUCAUAAGAACAGAGGAAGCAAGAAGAUUACCAUCAAGGUUGACAUAGCUAAAGCAUUUGAUACGCUCUCAUGGGAUUUCCUCUUUGCUGCUCUGGACAGUCUACAUCUCCCUGCUCCUUUUAUCCGGCUGUUGAAAUCUUGCAUCUGCACGCCAACAUUCAUGGUGGGUUACAAUGGUACGGUGAGUGGCUUCUUCAAGGGAAACAGAGGACUUAGGCAAGGAGAUCCUUUCUCUCCUUACCUUUUUGUCAUAGCUAUGAAUUACUUGUCCCUCAUGUUGGAUAAAGAAGCAAGGUCUGGAAAUAUACCGUAUCAUCACCAGUGUCACAAGACGAAGUUGACUCAUCUCUCCUUUGCGGACGACCUUCUGAUCUUCAUUGAUGGGUCUUUGGAGUCAGUACAGAGAGUUCUUCGGAUCCUGCACGAGUUUGAAAAGCGGCCAGGACUCGCGGUGAGUCUACAAAAAUCUAGUUUCUUCGCAUCAGGAAUCACGGAGCAAGAAAUUGCGGUCAUACAAGCCUCUACGGGAAUGCCAUGUGGGAGCUUACCUAUGCGUUAUCUCGGGGUUCCAUUGUGUACAAAGAAACUUAACCUGCAGAACUGUGAGCCUCUACUACAGCAGAUCAAGCAACGCCUCUCCUCUUGGUCCGCUAAAGCUCUAUCGUUUGCAGGGCGUCUGCUACUGAUAAAGACCGUGAUCUCUGGAGUCUCUACUUUCUGGUGCUCCAGUUUCAUCCUGCCAAAAGCGUGCAUAAACAGAAUCAACUCCCUCUGUAGUCAAUUUUUGUGGAACGGUAGUAUUGAAGGCCACCAUACAGCUAGAGUAAGUUGGGAGACAGUGACGCUUACCAAAGAACAGGGAGGGCUCGGGGUAAAAGACCUUCAUAGCUGGAAUCUCGCGUGUAUACUGAAGCUAAUCUGGAUGCUCUUCUUUCGUCCGAACUCUGUCUGGGUCUGCUGGUUCAAAGAGGUCAUCUUAAGAGGAGAUAUAUCUAACUACUGGACGGUAAAUAAAAGCUCCACUCACUCUUGGUUGGUUAACAAGAUGAUCAAGGCCCGUGAGCUUAUCUAUCCGCUGCUUAAACGCCGGAUUGGGAAUGGUGAAACCACACGGUUUUGGUUUGAUAACUGGAUGCCUUUGGGAAGUCUCUACUCCUUCUUAAAUGCCAGCAGCUCUCGCCUUGGUAUCCCGCGCUUAGCAACGGUUGCAUCUCUCUGUAAUGCUGGGCAAUGGUGUCUUCGGCCUGCAAGAAGUGAAAAUCAACUAGCGCUUCAGGUACACUUGACUACGGUGGUCUUAUCAGAGGAAGAGGACUACUAUGAAUGGGAGAUAGAUGGCAUGCUGAGACACAGAUACAACACUGGAGAAAUAUACUCCUACCUAAAAGGUCAUCAGCAGCUUGUCCCUUGGGCCAAGAUCGUCUGGUUCUCUUAUGGGAUUCCCCGACAUAGUUUCCUCACUUGGUGGUCCUCUUGGACCGAUGUCCUACAAGAGACAGAUUAAAUAGUUGGGGUCUAAACGUUGAUCCACUUUGCUUGCUCUGUAAUACUGAUCAUGAGAGUAGAAAUCACCUUUUCUUUGAGUGUAGUUACAGUGCGAUCGUUUGGAGGCAGAUAGCAAAUCGGUGUGAUCUUCAGCAUCUCACAUCCUGGGAUGCCAUUGUUCUCCAGCUCCAAUCCUUGCGAUCGAAUCGGGACUCUAUGCAACUCACGCAACUAGCAACGCAGGCCUCUAUCUACUGGCUCUGGUCGGAACAAAAUUCAAGACUCCAUAAUCGCAACUUCAAGUCGCCAGAGGUUAUAGUCUCCCCCAUAGAUAAGCAGAUUCGAAAUCAGCUUCAAAGCUUCCGCCACUCUAGGGCAUCGUCGGUGAUGACCCAACUCUGGUUUCUCCGAACUUGAUCUCAUUCGGAGUAAGGAACACGUCUCGAUCCUCUCCUCUUGCUACUCACCGUUUCAACUUCAUCUUCUAUUCCUUGGGCUUUGACAAAUUUAUUGGGCUUCAGUUCUACUAAUAUGUGUUUUUAUUAAUGGGUUUAACUUUGGGAUUUAUCCCAUAAGACACUUAAGCCUAGGGCUUGUAUGUUUUUUUUUUCCUUUUGCAAUUUAAUUAAGAAAGCCAGCUUACAAAAAAAAAAUUGUUUUUUCUUAUAUAUGCAAGUAUGGUCAUGGUGUACGGGUUACCGAGUUCUUUUUUCCUGUCGGGCUGUCUUGUUUGCAAGAGUGUAUGAUCAGUCGCAUGCAAUUUGGGCAUAUACUCUACUUCUUGAGAAAAGUUAAGCUAAACUUGUUUAGGCUAAAUUUAUGUACUAUGGUCGAUAGACAAUUAGGAAACUUGUGUUUGACAAAGUAAUUAUAUAUUUUUAUUAAACAUCUAACCUCCUGAUAUAUGCUACAUGAUCGAUAUCUAUAUUAAUAAAGUUGUCAUGUCUUUCUCCACAGGCCACCACGUACGUUAGUAGGAAAGGAUUGACGUUUUUGGACACGCGUCACUUUUUAAUCACUUUUCCUCCACUGUUUAGUUUACAAAAUGAAUGAUUUGGACUUCUGAUAUUUUAUUGGGCUUUAAGACAAAUUUUUUAUUGUUUUUCCUCUGACCUAGAGCUUUCCGUCGGAGCUGUGUUUCUGUAAUCCUACCCUUUUCUCUUCACCAUCUUCCACGACGUAACGGUCCGUAUUAAUUUCAAUCAACAAGGAAUCCCACUACUUUCUCUUCAAUGUAUUUUAGAUUAAACCUUUUGCAACCCCAUUCCAUGUAUAUAUAGACCCUCUGAGAGAGUUGAGGCUGUUGUACAGAGAUUGUCUUGAAAAUAAUGCUCCGUCUCUGGGAGGCCAGUAAUGUUAAGAAAGUCGGUGAGCUGAUAGGCGUUGAUAUGGUGCUCAUUGAUUGGAAGACAUCAAUCAAUCUUCACCGGCUCAACAUAUCUUGAAAGGAGGGUUGUAUGAGCUAAGUGUGUUUGGUGCUACAAGAAGCAACCCAAAUUUUGAUUUGGUGACACCCCUGUUUCUAUUAGGUUCACAGAUCAAACAAUGUUCGUUGAGUUAUUAAAAUCAAUCCACCCCAUCCCGAGGAGAGCUUUCUGUUUCGAAAUUACAACCAACUCAUACUCUUAGCUACCACGAUCACAGUUUUUCGAGGUAUGUUUUCAUUUGGCCGCCUUCGUACAACUCUAUAUAAUCAUUGUAAACACAACACAAAACUACCAUGAUGAGAGUAGUGCUAACAUCGUAAAAGGAAUAAUAGAUAAUAUAUUUAAUAAAAUUAGUAUUUAGGUCAUAGAUGUUCUUUUACGCCAUGUUGUUCUAAAUGUGAACAAAAGCUCUAGGGAGAUAUGUUUCUUUCACAUGCAUUGUAUGUGAUAAUACCAGUGUUGUGGGUGUUCUCAGGUGAUGAUCUAAUAGCUAUGCCAUCCAAUUAUUGUAUUCUACUUAUGUGUUUAGUUUUCUAAAUUUAAGGUGUCUCGGGUUUGAGGGUGCAUGUGUCAAUGCUCAUGUGAACAACGAACUCCCACAGUUUAUUGCUGAUAUUUUUGGCAAGACCUUCGUCUUCCAGCUCAAGUUAGGUGAGUUCAACUUCACUCUUAAACACCAAACCUUUACCAUUUCAUGUAUCAAUCCUUUCUGAACGCCAUGAUGCACCUCUCCCAGAAUUUGUUAUUGAUGUUGGUACGUUAUACUGUCUUAAUAUAUCUUUUUUUCCCUAAAUAAUAUAUUCAUGAUCAUUACUGCAUUCUGAACAGGGUGGUGACCAUAGUGCUGAUGAUGUUAUGCCUGGAGAGAAUCCAGUAGCAUCCAAAGUCUGAUGGUGACAAUAAAACUGAUGUUGAGCUACCAGAUGGUGUGUCAGGAGAAUUCAGGAGAGUACAAAUGCCAACCAUCAACCAUCCUCAUCUGUGGUACCAGGAGGCGGUCGUCUUGCACUAACUAAACCGGUUGAUGGUCCAAAUGAUAAUGGAAAGAAGAAGCCAUGUUUAGCAUAGCUCCACGUCCAAAAAAACACAAAUCCCCACUAGAUUUUGUUCUGUUGUUAUGUCUCCAUUUAUUUUCUUAUCAGUCGGAUUUUUAAUAAACCCAAUGCAAUGGUGGAUGUUUUGAUUUUUGACUAUUAACACAAGGUUUUUACGGAACAUGUCCUUUGAUUUUCUUAUCGCAAAAUUUUCUAGCAACUUAAUCUAUUUUAUAUUAAACCCAAUGUAAUGGUUGAAGUUUUGACUAUUAACUAAAGUUAUUUACUAAACGUCUUCCUUUUAUUUCAAAUGAAAUGGCUAAGGCAUUUAAGCCUUAAACAAAUCAAUGACCUCCGAAUGACAAAUACUGUGAAGAUGAUAAGUUUGAAAUAGUAAACCUAUUCAUCAAAAACUAUUAAGACAAACGUGAUCAAUUAAAUUAUCAUAAUCUCAAAAACUAAGACAGUCCAUACAAACAAAAAUAGAAAUACUCUAGGUGUAACUAUUAUUUUCAAAUCACAUUCUAACAGAUAAGAUGUAAGAAAUAUUUGUUGGAAGGUUUUAUAGAAAACAUAUUGAUUAUGGGUGAAUCAAAAAUUCAGUUAGUUGUUCCACUGUUCUUAAAGAUACAAAAGCUACAAUAGUUUGCGACCCCAACAAGAUUAACAAGAGAUGCUAAUAUAUAUUGCUACUUAUAUAAGCAAAUGAUUAAGUUUGUUUAUUUCAUUUGGAAUUCGUUUUUAUUAUUCUAAUAUCUUAGCUUAUAUGCAACAGCUUUUUUGGUCCUACCAUUAGAUUUUUUUUUUUGAAAUGUUGUAAAAUAACUUUUUCUUAAUAUUAAUUUUUGUAAUGGUCUUUAUCUUUAUAUAUGAUAGAACACCUGAAUAAGAUAUCCUGAAAAAAUAUUCAAUUAGGAUCAAAUCAAUGUUGGAUCAUGAUUAAGAGUUCAUUUAUUGGAUUCAUAAUCGAAGGCCAAAAUAUUUAACCAAUGCAUCUACAAUGAAGCCCAUCACAGAUUGUCACAUCUAUGACAUUGACAAAGCAUGCGAAAAUUGUUACUACUUAAAAAAGAUGAACAAAUUUAAUAUAUUUAUUCUUACAAGAUGAUCACGAAACAAAACAUGCAUUUACAUGUUUUCUUUUUGGAACAUCAACUUUGCUUUAUAUUUCAAAAUUUAACUAUAUUUACAUUGGUGCAACUAUCAACUAUAUAUUCUAUAUUUAAUGAAUCAAUCAGUGAAAACUAUUUACACUACUGUCACUAACCACUAUCAAUCAAAAAACAAUUUUAAAUUUAUUAGAGAAUAAAACAUACGAACCCGGCGCGUAGCACCGAAAUAUCACUAGUAAUAAAUAAACAUGGAGAACGUAAACAUUGAAUUAUUUUCAAUAUUGCAUGGUCAUUAAUGUUGUUAGUAUUUCUACUUCCUAGGUAACUCGGUCGAGUUCUGGAGAGAACCAAUUCUUGAAAGAUCACAUGUUCAACUUUUUAGAAGAAAAGAAAAAAAAGCAAACAUGACCAACAGAGAAAAUUAGCGACUUCUCUAGUUACCGUCGAUUUCAUUGUAAAUUAACAUUUGAUUCAGCAUGUUGACCAACAUUAUUUUGAUCAAUUUUGAGUUUAUCUUGAAUUUUGAUAGUUUAUAUAGUUUAUUUGAAAUAAAUGUUAGUUUAGGAUGAAAUUGGCAUGGUAACAAAAUUCAGGUAGAUAAAAACACAACAUAAAUUGUUGAUGUUGGAAUUGAUCAUUUUUCAGUAAAAUUGCAGAUUGAAGUUACCUCAGAAAUAGUAACAAAUUCAUUGCGAUAAGAAGUUAUUCAUGUUUGGGCCAAUCUAACUAAGCUUCUUUUUUGUGUGUGCACAAAGUAAGCUUAUGUAGAUGGGUUAUUUAUUGGGCUAGGCAACUAUAAUUGAUACUAAAAACUAUCUUGUUUGCGAGUCCAAAUCCAUGAAUUUAAAAUUUCUGAAUAAUGUAGAAAUCUAAUUUUAAUUAUAUAGAUAGAUGUAUGAUGAAAAUACAGUUUUAAUUAUUAACUAAAAACAAAAGGUUUUCUUUGGUCGUUACGAAACUACAAGAGUUAUACUUAUCAAGUCGAUAAAAAAAAAAGAAAUAUAUAUGUAUUUUACAA